CCCUUCUCAGGAUCGCACCUGGAGAGUUUCCAGUACUCUGCCAGUCUCCACUACAGGAGGGAGAGGCAAAAAGAGGCAUAUCCAUUCCAUUCCUAGCUUGGGCAGUGGCUAGCGAGUGGAAGACAAUCUGCUACAAGU